rnacentral:rRNA from 1 species
AACGAACGCUGGCGGCGUGCCUAACACAUGCAAGUCGAGCGCGAAUGGAGCAAUCCUAGUAGAGCGGCGCACGGGUGCGUAACACGUGGGUAAUCUGCCUGGAAGACUGGAAUAACCUGCCGAAAGGCUGGCUAAUACCGGAUAAGCCUACGGGGUCCUCGGAUCCUGAAGGAAAGGUGGCCUCUGUAUACAAGCUAUCACUUCCAGAUGAGCCCGCGGCCCAUCAGCUAGUUGGCGGGGUAAAGGCCCACCAAGGCAACGACGGGUAGCUGGUCUGAGAGGACGAUCAGCCACACUGGAACUGAGACACGGUCCAGACUCCUACGGGAGGCAGCAGUGGGGAAUUUUGCACAAUGGGCGAAAGCCUGAUGCAGCAACGCCGCGUGUGUGAUGAAGGUC